UUCGCAAUGCCCGAAAGGGUGACGAAGCGACGCCGCGUGUGGGAAGAAGGCCUUCGGGCUGUAAACCACUGUCGGGAGUUAAGAAAUGCAAGGAUAUUAAUAGUGUCUUUGUUUGACUAAGGCUCCGGAGGAAGCCACGGCUAACUCUGUGCCAGCAGCCGCGGUAAUACAGAGGCGGCAAGCGUUGUUCGGAAUUAUUGCGCGUAAAGAGCACGUAGGCGGCUAUGUAAGUCGGUUGUGAAAGCCUUCCGCUCAACGGAAGAACAGCAUCCGAUACUACAUGGCUUGAGUGCGGGAGGGGAGAGUGGAACUUCUGGUGGAGCGGUGAAAUGCGUAAAUAUCAGAAGGAACGCCGGCGGCGAAAGCGGCUCUCUGGCCCAUAACUGACGCUGAGUGUGCGAAAGCUAGGGGAGCAAACGGGAUUAGAUACCCCGGUAGUCCUAGCCGUAAACGAUGGGCACUAAGUAGAGGGGUUUU
rnacentral:rRNA from 1 species